ACAUGAGUUACCAGGGGUCUUGUUUAAAUGCAGAUUCCCCUACAUUAGGGUUGGGGUGGAGCCUGGGAUUUUGCAUUUCUAACAAGCUCCCAGGUGAUGUUCAU
rnacentral:miRNA from 1 species